CUGGCUUGCAAAUUUGAGUGUGCAUCAGAACCACCUGGGGGGGCUUGUUAAACACAUUGCUGAGCCCCACCCCAGAGUUUCUGAUUCGGUCUGGGCUAGGCUCCGAGAGUCUGCGUUCCUGAAAGUCCCAGGUGAUGCUGGUCCGGGAACACAGUUUGAGAAGCACUCACUAUUCCAGGGACUACUACCUACUCCAUUUACUCCCCUUCCUGAGCUGCCUGACAGCGCUGUUCUGCCUGGAUCGGACUGCCUGGAUCGGACGGAAAAUGGGGUUUGUGAUCAGUGGCCCAAAGCGCCACUGCCGCAUGACUAAGGAACAGGGAUCUCAGGCAGCCGGGCCGGUGGGUGAGGCAAGCCCUCUCCCCUGGACCAGCUCAUUUAAUCUCGUGGCCUUGUACUGGUGCUUUACUAGACAAGGAGGACAAAUAAUUCCCUGAGCCCGCAGCUGGUAAGCAGAGGUAGGAAUCCAAUCCUUAAACACGGGGCCGCUCACCAUGCCCUGGGAGCAAUGUUGGCCACACCACCCACAACUUCCCCUAACUCUGUACCCACAUACUUGUGUGGGCUGGGUCUUGUGAUUCCAAUUUAACAGAGCCAGGAAGCAGCAAGAACAGGCCUGGAACCCAGAGGGAAACUGGAGCUGGUGGAGAGGCGGCGCCAGCCCCGGCGUCUGCCUGGGGGUCCUGUGAACUCUCUGAGCCUCAGUUCCCUCAUCAGGUAAAUGGGGCCCCUUCAUCGCAGGGUGGUUGUGAGGAACAAACAAGUGCCCACCCCCCCGCCUGGCGAGCACACGUUCUCAACCCACAGGAGCUCUUCUGUUGUCCUUAAAGUUGUAUUACGUAACUGCCAGCGUUUCUCACAGGCGCUUCCACAGACCUUACCUCAUUUACUUCUCACAGCCAUCCUGGGGGUAGCUAUUACCUUUUCUGUUUUACAAAUAAGGAAAACAAAACGAGGCUCCAGGAGGGCCAAUGAAGGAUCCAACACCCCCGGAGCACCCAUGGCAGAGCCUGAAAUAGAAGCGGGAGCGCCCAGCACCAGAGCAAUGGCGUCUACUCCGUCUAAAGGUUCUUGUCCCCUGGAGGGAGCCGAGCAGGGCCUGCCCACGCCCCGGGCACCCUGCGCUCCUCACCCCUCGCUGCCCUGUGGCCUCAUCCUCCCCACUCAACACUGAGGUUCCCCCCAAGGGCCAGCAACUUGUCCAAGGUCACACGGGGCCGGUGACCUAACUCAGGGACCUAGGCCUUAAGACUGCAAAUUCUGAGGCCUCUCGGUUGUUGGGAACAGAUUAUUAGGAAGAAUCCCCAUCCUGCGGCCUCUUGCCCUUCCGGGUCCUCUGAGAGGACCCCC
rnacentral:lncRNA from 1 species